rnacentral:ncRNA from 1 species
GGCCGGAUAAGGCGUUCAUGCCGCAUCCGACAUUCGGUGCUCAAUGCCUGAUGCGACGCUGGCGCGUCUUAUCCGGCC